rnacentral:sRNA from 1 species
GCCAGGUGCAGUGGCGCAUGCCUGUAAUUCCAGAGGCUGCGGAGGCUGAGACAGGAGGAUCAUAGAUUCAAAGCCAGCCUCAGCAAUGGCAAGGUGAGACCUAAGCAACUCAGUGAGACCCUGUCUCUA